rnacentral:rRNA from 1 species
GACGAACGCUGGCGGCGUGCUUAACACAUGCAAGUCGAACGGAAAGGCCCUGCUUUUGUUGGGUGCUCGAGUGGCGAACGGGUGAGUAACACGUGAGUAACCUGCCCUUGACUUUGGGAUAACUCCAGGAAACUGGGGCUAAUACCGGAUAGGAGCUCCUGCUGCAUGGUGGUGGGUGGAAAGUUUCGGCGGUUGGGGAUGGACGCGGGGUUUAUCAGUGUUUUUGGGGGGUUGGGGCUUACCAGGGCUUUGACGGGUAGCCGGCGUGAGAGGGUGACCGCCCACAGUGGGACUGAGAUAGGCCCGAGACUCCUAGGGGGGGGAGCAGUGGGAAAUAUUACACAGUGGGCGGGAGCGUGGUGCAGAAGCGGCGCGUGCGGGAUGACGGCCUUCGGGGUGAAAACCGCUUUCGCCUGUGACGAAGCGUGAGUGACGGUAAUGGGUAAAGAAGCACCGGCUAACUACGUG